rnacentral:rRNA from 1 species
CAGCCGCCGCGGUAAUACGAAGGGGGCUAGCGUUGUUCGGAAUCACUGGGCGUAAAGGGUGCGUAGGCGGAUUCUUAAGUCAGGGGUGAAAUCCCGAGGCUCAACCUCGGAACUGCCUUUGAUACUGGGGAUCUUGAGUCCGGAAGAGGUGAGUGGAACUGCGAGUGUAGAGGUGAAAUUCGUAGAUAUUCGCAAGAACACCGGUGGCGAAGGCGGCUCACUGGUCCGGAACUGACGCUGAGGCACGACAGCGUGGGGAGCAAACAGGAUUAGAUACCCCCGUAGUCCCUGUCUCUUAUAC